GAUAAGUGCUCAAAAUGAUCUAAUUCAUGUGUUAGUUUAGGCAUAUUUGAUGAGUUGUUUUACAAAUUAUUGAUGGAAAAGCUUCAAUUAUGUGCCUAAAUGCCAUUUAUGCUUUGCAUGCCUUACUUUACCCUUUUUGUGCAGGAAAAUACAAGCAAGGACCAAAAAUAUUAGUUGACCAGAGACAACACGCCAUAAGCGUGUACCAAGCCAUAAGCCUAGAAGCCAGAAUUCAAGAAACUCGCCAUAAGCGAGUACUUGGCCAUUGGCGAGUUUUCUCCAGAGGCUUCACGCCAUAAGCGUGUUCAUGGCGAGUUCAAGAGAUUCAACAGGAUAAGGGGCACGUGGAGCAUAACCAUUGGGGCAGAAGCUGAUUUCGUGCAUCUCGCUUAUGGCGAGUUAUUUUGGCCAUAAGCGAGUUGUCCAAACACAACCCAUAUAAAUAGUUUUUCCUUCUCUCUCUUGCUAUUCUAUUACAUUUUUAUUCAUAUUUUUCUGGUUUUAGAGAGAGACUGGGGCUUUUCUAAAGAGAGAAACACAAAGUAAGGUAGUUAGGAGUAGAUUCAAGCCAAGAUUUGUUGAGACAUCAUGGAUCUUGUCAUGGAAUCUUCACCCUUUCUUCAUCCUUUGCAAAGCUAUCAUAGACAUAUGUAGCUACAUCUACUCUUGUAGUUUUGAGGUAUUCAAACAAGCUAUUAUGUAAUCUUUUAAUAUAUGGUUCUAGCUUAUUUAUUCAAUAUUGUUGUUAUUCUUGCUUUUAUUGUUUUAUUGAGAUUCAAAAUUAUAUGGACACAUACUUUUGAAUCUAGAAAUAGAAUAACAAUCUAUCUUAAGUUAUCACUCUAGAAAUGGAUGUUAAUAUUUGAUAAUCACUUUUAAUCUAGGACUUAAUGCUUUUGAGUAAUUUAAUCGGUUGGGAAAUCGUCGAUUAAACUACCCAAUCGACUUUGUGAUCGUUUAAAUGUUUGGGAAAUCGAUGUUUAAACGAUCCCUUAGAAAUAACGAUAUCAUUUGGACACAAAUGAUAUUGUCGAGUGAUUGUGAUAAUAUAGUUUAAAAAGCUAGAAUCCGUUAAUCGAUCGAGAGAUUGCAGCUGUUACACUUGGUUGAUGUCUCUGACCGCAAGCGGAAUAGCCCUAUCUCUUCUCGCUUUACAUUUAUGUCAAUUAGGAAAAUAGUUUACACAAACAAACAAUUUAUAUCCAAACACUUAACGUGACAAAUAUUGUGAAAAUGCUUAUGAAAUACGCAACUUCCUAUGGACACGAUCAUAUAUAUACUUACGUGUAAAUAGUUUUAUGAGAGGUAAAAAUCCUUCAUCACUCCCCUAGCCAGAUUAAAAUUCUUGAAAUUACUAAUGUCCUACCUUCACAUUUUCAAAUCAUUACUUCUCUCCCUGCUUAUGUUUCAGGUUUCAGCUCAAGAUGGAAGAUGUCCAACCUCGUUUAGUUGUGGAAAUCUUGAAAUUGAUUUUUUCGUUAUAGGAUUGUUUAAGGGAUUCAUCAUUAAUAGGUUUAAUGAUUUAUUGUACUUUAGUUGUAUUAGUGGUUGUAAAGUUGACCACAUGUAAAAAGUUU
rnacentral:lncRNA from 1 species